rnacentral:rRNA from 1 species
UGGGGAAUUUUGGACAAUGGGCGAAAGCCUGAUCCAGCAAUGCCGCGUGUGUGAAGAAGGCCUUCGGGUUGUAAAGCACUUUUGUCCGGAAAGAAAUCCUUGGCUCUAAUACAGUCGGGGGAUGACGGUACCGGAAGAAUAAGCACCGGCUAACUACGUGCCAGCAGCCGCGGUAAUACGUAGGGUGCAAGCGUUAAUCGGAAUUACUGGGCGUAAAGCGUGCGCAGGCGGUUUGCUAAGACCGAUGUGAAAUCCCCGGGCUCAACCUGGGAACUGCAUUGGUGACUGGCAGGCUAGAGUAUGGCAGAGGGGGGUAGAAUUCCACGUGUAGCAGUGAAAUGCGUAGAGAUGUGGAGGAAUACCGAUGGCGAAGGCAGCCCCCUGGGCCAAUACUGACGCUCAUGCACGAAAGCGUGGGGAGCAAACAGGAUUAGAUACCCUGGUAGUCCACGCCCUAAACGAUGUCAACUAGUUGUUGGGGAUUCAUUUCCUUAGUAACGUAGCUAACGCGUGAAGUUGACCGCCUGGGGAGUACGUCGCAAGAUUAAAACUCAAAUGAAUUGACGGGGUCAUAGCUGUUUCCU